UACGUAGGGGGCAAGCGUUGUCCGGAAUCAUUGGGCGUAAAGCGCGUGUAGGCGGUUCGAUAAGUCUGCUGUGAAAGUCCAGGGCUCAACCCUGGGAUGCCGCUGGAUACUGUCGGACUAGAGUACGGAAGAGGCGAGUGGAAUUCCCGGUGUAGUGGUGAAAUGCGUAGAUAUCGGGAGGAACACCAGUGGCGAAGGCGACUACCUGGCCUGUUCUUGACGCUGAGG
rnacentral:rRNA from 1 species